CCUACGGGAGGCAGCAGUGGGGAAUAUUGGACAAUGGGGGAAACCCUUAUCCAGCGACGCCGCGUGAGGGAAGAAGGUUUUCGGAUUGUAAACCUCUGUCAGUGGGGACGAUAAUGACGGUACCCCCGGAGAACCAGCAUCGGCUAACUCCGUGCCAGCAGCCGCGGUAAUACGGAGGAUGCGAGCGUUAUCCGGAUUUAUUGGGUUUAAAGGGUGCGUAGGCGGGAUGCCAAGUCAGCGGUAAAAAUGCGGUGCUCAACGCCGUCGAGCCGUUGAAACUGGCGUUCUUGAGUGGGCGAGAAGUAUGCGGAAUGCGUGGUGUAGCGGUGAAAUGCAUAGAUAUCACGCAGAACUCCGAUUGCGAAGGCAGCAUACCGGCGCCCUACUGACGCUGAGGCACGAAAGCGUGGGUAUCGAACAGGAUUAGAUACCCCUGUAGUC
rnacentral:rRNA from 1 species